rnacentral:misc_RNA from 1 species
GUUUUCAACAUGUGGGGUCUAAGCCGGUUGACAUCCGAAAGUCGGACCGGUUUCAAGAAGAAUUCUUCUGCUCCUUCUUCUAAGCAUCUAUUGAUUCUUGCAGGCACAUUCUCAGAUGACAUAAUCACAACAGGUAUGUUUCUCAGAGCUGUAGACCCCUUGAUCUUCUUCAACAAAUCAUAGCCAGUCAUCUCAGGCAUACAGUAAUCAGUAAUAACAAGAUUCACA